CCUACGGGUGGCAGCAGUGAGGAAUAUUGGUCAAUGGACGCGAGCCUGAACCAGCCAAGUUGCGUGAAGGAUGACUGCCCUCCGAGUUGUAAACUUCUUUUAUCAAGGACUAAAUUGCGGCACGUUUGCCUUUUUGUCUGUACUUUAUGAAUACGGCUCGGCUAACUCCGUGCCAGCAGCCGCGGUAAUACGGAGGAUCCGAGAGUUAUCCGGAUUUAGGGGGUUUAAAGGGAGCGUAGAUGGGUUGUUAAGUCAGUUGUGAAAGUUUGCGGCUCAACCGUAAAAUUGCAAUUGAUACUGGCAGUCUAGAGUACAGUAGAGGUAGGUGGAAUUCGUGGUGUAGCGGUGAAAUGCUUAGAUAUCACGAAGAACUCCGAUUGCGAAGGCAGCUUACUAAACUGCAACUGACAUUGAUGCUCGAAAGUGUGGGUAUCAAACAGGAUUAGAUACCCGAGUAGUC
rnacentral:rRNA from 1 species